GCCGAAGUGGUCGGAUUGGUAGGUGCGCUGGACUCAAAAUCUAGCGGCUUUCGGGCUGUGGGGUUUGAUUCCUGACUUCGGCACCA
rnacentral:tRNA from 1 species